rnacentral:tRNA from 1 species
GGAGAGAUGGCAGAGCGGUUGAAUGCGGCAGUCUCGAAAACUGUUGUACCUUCGGGUACCGGGAGUUCAAAUCUCCCUCUCUCCGCCA